AUUGAACGCUGGCGGCAUGCUUUACACAUGCAAGUCGAACGGUAACAGGUUAAGCUGACGAGUGGCGAACGGGUGAGUAAUGCACCGGAACGUGCCCGGUCGUGGGGGAUAACGCAGCGAAAGCUGCGCUAAUACCGCAUACGAUCUAAGGAUGAAAGCGGGGGACCGUAGGUCCUCGCGCGAUCGGAGCGGCCGAUGUCAGAUUAGGUAGUUGGUGGGGUAAAGGCUCACCAAGCCAACGAUCUGUAGCUGGUCUGAGAGGACGACCAGCCACACUGGGACUGAGACACGGCCCAGACUCCUACGGGAGGCAGCAGUGGGGAAUUUUGGACAAUGGGCGAAAGCCUGAUCCAGCAAUGCCGCGUGCAGGAAGAAGGCCUUCGGGUUGUAAACUGCUUUUGUACGGAGCGAAAAGGUCUCCUCUAAUACAGGGGGCUCAUGACGGUACCGUAAGAAUAAGCACCGGCUAACUACGUGCCAGCAGCCGCCGUAA
rnacentral:rRNA from 1 species